UGUUAUUAGAAUAACUAUCUUUAAGUAUUAAUAAAAAAUGAAGGUAAAGAAAUCCGAACUAGUAUUUAUUUCCACUCGUUCCAUCAAGUAUUUUUCCUCAGCGUUAAAUAAAGAGAUUGAUAGUAAAAGAGCCAAGUCAGCGCAAAAAGCUAAGAGAGCUUGAACUUAUACAUGUGCUGUCGUAAAGAAGGAAAUUCCGUUACUAUGAGAUGAAAAGUGCAUAGCAGCACCUUGGUCAUUAAAAAACGUGUGUGUUCCUUUCCCUUCUACACCACACCUUUC
rnacentral:ribozyme from 12 species